rnacentral:misc_RNA from 1 species
UCGAAUCCUUAGGAUGUUGCUGGCCUCUCGGGGCACUGUGCACUCCGCCUUUUCAUCUCACCUGUGCACUUAUUGUAGGCCGGACUUGUAAUGAGUCUGUGUCUAUGUUUUCAAUAUACACCUUUUAAAAAAGUCUAUUGAAUGUCUUUGAAUUAAAGUAGACCUUUAUUGGUUGAAAAUAAAUUAAUA